CAGUGGUCAUAUGCUCGUCUCAAAGACUAAGCCAUGCAUGUCUAAGUUCAUAACUAUUAAAGUUGAAACUGCGAAGCGCUCAGUAAAUCAGUUAUAGUCUGUUCGAUGUUUAGUGCUGGAUAACUGUGGCAAAUCUAUAGCUAAUACAUGUUCAACGCCAGUCUUUUGGCUGGUGUCAUUUAUUGGCAAACCGAUUCGGACCUAGUCCGUAGGUGAAUCUAGAUAACUUGGAGACCGUAUAACCUUGUGUUGACGGUGUUUCGAAUGAAUUUCUGCCCUAUCAACUAGUUGGUAAGGUAGUGGCUUACCAAGGUAGUAACGGGUAACGGGGAAUCAGGGUUCGAUUCCGGAGAGGGAGCCUGAGAAACGGCUACCACAUCCAAGGAAGGCAGCAGGCGCGCAAAUUACCCAAUCCAGACAUUGGGAGGUAGUGACGAGAAAUACUGGGGAUGUUCUAUUUAGAAUGUCACUCGGGAUGAACGUAGCAUAAAACAUUCGAUGAGGAUCUACUGGAGGGCAAGUCUGGUGCCAGCAGCCGCGGUAAUUCCAGCUCCAGUAGUGUAUAUCAACAUUGUUGCGUUUAAAACGCUCGUAGUUGGAUUACAGGGUGUCAAAUCUGUGUUGCUAAAAUUAUAGCCACAGUGCCAGCGUUGUGCUGUGUUUUAUUUAACAAUAUUUCCCAGUAUGACGUUGGUGACGCCUUUUUGUCGCACUGGCUCUACUGUCAACUUUAUUGGGGGCUGUAGACGCCGGUGGAGUGUGCCUUGAAUAAAGCAUAGUGCUCAAAGCAGGCGUACGCUCGUGUGUAAUAGCAUGGAACAGAUAGCAGACUUGCAGCUUCGGCUGUCUUGGUUGCAGGUUAACGCCUGUAACUAAGGGGUUCAUUUGUUGGUUGUGGACCGGGUCGCAUCGAUUAAAAGGGACAUUUGAGGGCAUUGGUACUUUGUGGCGAGAGGUGAAAUUCUUAGACCCACAAAAGACUGACUGGUGCGAAAGCGUUUGUCAAGAAUGUUUUCAUUAAUCAAGAACGAAGGUCAGAGGUUCGAAGACGAUCAGAUACCGUCCUAGUUUUGACAGCAAACGAUGCUAGCACAGGGCCAGGCUAUCCACCUUUAAAAAGGAAGAGACGGCUUGGUCCUGCCGGGAAACCUCAAGCUUUCGAGUUACGGGGAGAGUAUAGCUUCAAGGCGGGAAUUUAAAGAAAUUGACGGAGAGGCACCACCAGGAGUGGAGCCUGCGGCUUAAUUUGACUCAACACGGGGAAACUCACCAGGUCCAGACAUUGGCAGGAUUGACAGGCUGAUAGACCUUUCAUGAUUCGGUGGAUGGUGGUGCAUGGCCGUUCUUAGUUGGUGGAGUGAUCUGUCAGGUCUAUUCCGGUAACGAGCGAGACCGCGGUCAGUAGUUUGCUAUUUACAUUUCGUUCUGGUCAAUUUAUUGGCUAGAACCUCUAGGUUGCUUUUGUAGCCUAGUGUUGUUGAUAGCACUACUGGGACUACUGGACUCUAAGCCAGGGGAAGCGCGGCAAUAACAGGUCUGUGAUGCCCUUCGAUGUCCUGGGCUGCACGCGCGCUACAAUGGCAGCAGUAGAGAGUAGAUGGGUAGAGAUGCCCGUCUAACCUGUAAAUAGCUGUCGUGAUAGGGAUUGUGCCUUGGAAUUAUUGCACAUGAAAGAGGAAUUCCUCGUAAGCACGGGUCAUCAGCCCGUGUUGAAUACGUCUCUGCCUCUUGUACACACCGCCCGUCGCUACUACCGAUUGAAUAUCAUCUAGAGCUGGCUGGACAGCUGCUAUAUUUAUAUAGUGGNAUGAAAGGCCGACCCUGGAUGU
rnacentral:rRNA from 1 species